rnacentral:rRNA from 1 species
UACGUAGGGGGCAAGCGUUGUCCGGAUUCAUUGGGCGUAAAGAGCGUGUAGGCGGCCAGGUAGGUCGGUUGUGAAAACUCGAGGCUUAACCUCGAGACGUCGGUUGAAACCAUCUGGCUAGAGUCCGGAAGAGGAGAGUGGAAUUCCUGGUGUAGCGGUGAAAUGCGCAGAUAUCAGGAAGAACACCCGUGGCGAAGGCGGCUCUCUGGGACGGUACUGACGCUGAGACGCGAAAGCGUGGGGAGCGAACAGG